rnacentral:rRNA from 1 species
ACGGGGUGCAGCAGGCGCGAAAACUUUACAAUGCUGGAAACAGCGAUAAGGGGACCUCGAGUGCCAGGUUACAAAUCUGGCUGUCGUGAUGCCUAAAAAGCAUUGCAUAGCAAGGGCCGGGCAAGACCGGUGCCAGCCGCCGCGGUAACACCGGCGGCUCGAGUGGUAACCGUUAUUAUUGGGUCUAAAGGGUCUGUAGCCGGCCGGGUAAGUCUCUUGGGAAAUCUGGCAGCUUAACUGUCAGGCUUUCAGGAGAUACUGUCUGGCUCGAGGCCGGGAGAGGUGAGAGGUACUUCAGGGGUAGGGGUGAAAUCUUGUAAUCCUUGAAGGACCACCAGUGGCGAAGGCGUCUCACCAGAACGGACCUGACGGCAAGGGACGAAAGCUAGGGGCACGAACCGGAUUAGAUACCCGGGUAGUCCUAGCCGUAAACGAUACUCGCUAGGUGUCGGCAACGGUGCGACCGUUGUCGGUGCCGUAGGGAAGCCGUGAAGCGAGCCACCUGGGAAGUACGGCCGCAAGGCUGAAACUUAAAGGAAUUGGCGGGGGAGCACCACAACGGGUGGAGCUUGCGGUUUAAUUGGAUUCAACGCCGGAAAUCUUACCGGGACCGACAGCAAUAUGAAGGCCAGGCUGAAGACUUUGCCGGAUUAGCUGAGAGGUGGUGCAUGGCCGUCGUCAGUUCGUACUGUGAACCAUCCUGUUAAGUCAGGCAACGAGCGAGACUCACGCCCACAGUUGCCAGCGUACUCUCCGGAGUGAC